rnacentral:rRNA from 1 species
AGACUCUGUGCGCGUGCAUAUCAAUAAGCGGAGGAAAAGAAACUAACAAGGAUUCCCCUUAGUAGCGGCGAGUGAAGCGGGAAGAGCUCAAAUUUGAAAUCUUCAAGGUUCUGACCUUGACGAAUUGUAGUUUAUAAGAAGUGUUUUCUGUUAGUAGAGUGGCAAAAGUUCUUUGGAAUAGGACAUCAUAGAGGGUGAGAAUCCCGUAUUUGGUCAUUCUUUCUAGCUUUGUGAUACACUUUCAACGAGUCGGAUUGUUUGGGAAUGCAGUCCAAAAUGGGUGGUAAAUUUCAUCUAAAGCUAAAUAUUGGCGAGAGACCGAUAGCGAACAAGUACCGUGAGGGAAAGAUGAAAAGAACUUUGAAAAGAGAGUUAAACAGUACGUGAAAUUGUCAAAAGGGAAGCGUUUGACACCAGUGUUGUUUUUCCGAAAAUCAAUUACGAAUGUUUUAUUUUUGAGGAGUUAUGACUACAUCGGCUUGCUCCUUUCUUUAUGGAACUUUCUUAAUGCACUUUUCGGUUAACAAGUCAACAUCAAUUUCUUUUGUUGUAAAAGAGUAUGAGGAAGGUGGCUUUCUUUUCGGAGAAAGUGUUUAUAGCCUUGUACUUCUGCAAUCGGAGAGAUUGAGGUCUGCAGCGUAGAUCCUUCGGGGUUAGAUACACUUGUGCUAAGUUAUAGCUUUUCAUAGACAACUUGUUGAUUAUGUUAAGUCUUGUAGCUUACUCGCUUGUGCUAUUUUACCUACGCUUAGGAUGUUGAUCUGUAGUGCGUGCGC